rnacentral:lncRNA from 10 species
CAUAGUACCCCAUUCCUUGCUGCAAUGUAAUUACAAGUGUGCUCCUGGUGGUCUUUAACUGAAGGGCACUGACUGGGUACUGGUGAAGUUCCCCGCAGGAACUGAGUCAGACCCCAUCUCAGGGCCCUGCAGAAGAUAGGUGCCUGCUCUAAGGCGUGGACCCUCGCGACAGCCCUGGCCCGUCUUGACGGGCGAGGGUUACUGUACUUGUCCCAAUCGUACAGAUGAGAAAGCUCAGACUCAGGGCCAGCAACCCCGGUCCCAGCGGAGCGCCCGGCACGCGCCGACACUUCAGCACCAGUCGCGGUGGCCACCACUGUGCGCGGAGAUGGCUGCGACGCGUGCGCAGGGAAAUUUGUGCACAGAGAUAACACAGGGGAUAUGCCAUAUGAAGAUGAAGGCAGAAUUCUACAAGCCCAGGAAUGCCAAAGAUUGCCAGCAAACCACCAGAAGCUAGGAGAGAAGUGUGGAUUAGAUUCUUUCUCACAGCCCUCAGAAGGAACCAGCCCUGCCAAGAACUUGAUCUCAGACUUCUAGUCUCCAGAACUGUGAGACAGUGCAUUUUGUUCUGUAAGUCAGCCACAUGGUUUGUGGCACUUUGUUAUGGCAGCCCUAGGAGAUGAAGACAAUAUGCAACAUGGUAUGUCCAUUAUAGGACACUGUGGGCUAUAAAUGUGUUCUUUGGCCUGAAGAAAUAAAACUUGGUGGUCCAAGUUGAUGUCUUAUCAUCUGUUCCAGUUCUUUUAUGGUAUUUUUGGCAUUUGAAUCUAAUGACUAUGCAAAGCCCAGUCCAGAGAAUGUGUCAGGACCCAUUAUAGCCUC